rnacentral:rRNA from 1 species
AUGCGUAUGUUGAGAUGGAUGUGUGGCCACACGAGGAAGGAUCGACUCCGGAAUGAUGAUAUACGAGAUAGAGUUGGGGUAGCACCAAUUGAGGAGAAGCUUGUCCAACAUCGUUUGAGAUGGUUUGGGCAUAUUCAGCGCAGGCCUCCAGAAGCUCCAGUGCAUAGCGGACGGCUAAAGCGUGCGGAGAAUGUCAAGAGAGGGCGGGGUCGACCGAUUUUGACAUGGGAGGAGUCCGUUAAGAGAGACCUGAAGGAUUGGAGUAUCGACAAAGAGCUAGCUAUGGACAGGGGUGCGUGGAAGCUUGCUAUCCAUGUGCCAGAGCCAUGA